UCCAAAAUGUACGAUAAUUUCAGUUGGUUGCCCAAACACGCAUCUCUCUCUGACACCCAAGAAUCAUUUUGCAGGCGUUGCACUCAGGCGGCAUCAAAGACACACCACACACAGGGCUGCUUCUGGAAUUGGCCGCCCGGGACAAAGUAAUUUGAAAGCCCACCCCCUCUCCAUACAAAGUAAUGAGUUCCCAUCCAAUCUCUGCCGUACGGCGACAGGAAGAUUCCCCA